GAUGAACGCUAGCGNCAGGCCUAACACAUGCAGGUCGAGGGGCAGCACGAAUUAGCUUGCUAAUUUGGUGGCGACCGGCGCACGGGUGCGUAACGCGUAUGCAACCUACCUUAUACAGGGGUAUAGCCCGGAGAAAUUCGGAUUAAUCCCCCAUGGUACUGAGACACCGCAUGGUGCUUCAGUUAAAGCUUCGGCGGUAUAAGAUGGGCAUGCGUCCUAUUAGCUAGAUGGUAAGGUAACGGCUUACCAUGGCUACGAUAGGUAGGGGGCCUGAGAGGGUGGUCCCCCACACUGGUACUGAGACACGGACCAGACUCCUACGGGAGGCAGCAGUGAGGAAUAUUGGUCAAUGGGCACAAGCCUGAACCAGCCAUGCCGCGUGCAGGAAGAAUGCCCUAUGGGUUGUAAACUGCUUUUAUUUGGGAAUAAACNUUUCUACGUGUAGGAAGCUGAAGGUACCAAAUGAAUAAGCACCGGCUAACUCCGUGCC
rnacentral:rRNA from 1 species